GGGAAGAACUGAAAUACAGAGCAAUUCAGUUUUAGGGAAAUAAAAAUGUUGGAAAACAAAAAUAGAGUAUAAAACGGAUUGACACUCUUGAUCAGGAUAUUUCUUGGAGAUCUAUGCAAUGGGAAGAUGCAUCUAUGAGUGAUAUAUUUAUCCACACUGAGAUACAAUGAGUUAAUAUGAGUUAGUAAAAAGAUCAACUACAUCUAUCCUUGCUGCAGAUAUGCAAGGUUCAGUUGUAAGUUCACUAUUGUCUUGCAGGAUCCUUGACCUCGUGAUCGAGAUAUAAGUUUUAACCUUUGUGACCUUUAGCUUUUUCCCUGAACUGUGAAAUUCAAUUACUUGAAUUCUUACACGGUUGCACUUAUGCCCAGGAUUGUAACAUUUGUACCAUUGAAGAAAAAUCAUUGACAGUAAUUUUCGAGACUUCUACAAUAAUAUGGAGGUCUGAA
rnacentral:misc_RNA from 1 species